GGAGCAGACAAAAUGGUCGCUGCAGUGCAGCCACGGCCGGGCUGCAGAGGAAAGUCCGGGCUCCACAGGGCAGGAUGGUCGCUAACGGCGACUGGGGGUGACCCUAAGGAAAGUGCCACAGAAAACAGACCGCCUCGCGCCCCUGCGGUGCGGGGUAAGGGUGCAACGGUGAGGUAAGAGCUCACCAGUAUCCCGGGUGACCGGGAUAGCUUGGUAAACCCCAUCCGGAGCAAGGCCAAAUAGGGAAGCGCGAACGCCUACGGGCUGUUCAAAAAGCUGCCCGCUUUUACGCUUCCGGGUAGGCCGCUCGAGGCCUCUGGCAACAGGGGUCCCAGAUGAAUGACCAUUGCCCCGCCUUUGCGCGGGGAACAGAACCCGGCUUAUUGUCUGCUCCGGUU
rnacentral:RNase_P_RNA from 1 species